rnacentral:tRNA from 1 species
AUUUCAGUAGCAUAGUGGUUAGUGCACAUCCCGAGAAGGUUGAGACGCGGGUUUGAAUCUCGCCUGAGAUG